UACGUAGGUGGCGAGCGUUGUCCGGAUUUACUGGGCGUAAAGAGCGCGCAGGCGGCUGGUCAAGUCCGAUGUGAAAGCUCCCGGCUUAACUGGGAAAUUGCAUCGGAAACUGUUCGGCUGGAAGGUGGGAGAGGGUAGCGGAAUUCCCGGUGUAGUGGUGAAAUGCGCAGAUAUCAGGAAGAACACCAAUGGCGAAGGCAGCUCUCUGGGACGGUACUGACGCUGAGACGCGAAAGCGUGGGGAGCGAACAGG
rnacentral:rRNA from 1 species